GAGAGAGGUAUGUAAACAAUAAGAACUGCUAAUUCUUUCCCCUUGGGUUAGAAUCCCAAGCUCACUCG
rnacentral:tRNA from 1 species